GACGAACGCUGGCGGCGUGCUUAACACAUGCAAGUCGAACGGAAAGGCCCUGCUUUUGUGGGGUGCUCGAGUGGCGAACGGGUGAGUAACACGUGAGUAACCUGCCCUUGACUUUGGGAUAACUUCAGGAAACUGGGGCUAAUACCGGAUAGGAGCUCCUGCUGCAUGGUGGGGGUUGGAAAGUUUCGGCGGCUGGGGAUGGACUCGCGGCUUAUCAGCUUGUUGGUGGGGUAGUGGCUUACCAAGGCUUUGACGGGUAGCCGGCCUGAGAGGGUGACCGGCCACAUUGGGACUGAGAUACGGCCCAGACUCCUACGGGAGGCAGCAGUGGGGAAUAUUGCACAAUGGGCGGAAGCCUGACGCAGCAACGCCGCGUGCGGGAUGACGGCCUUCGGGUUGUAAACCGCUUUCGCCUGUGACGAAGCGUGAGUGACGGUAAUGGGUAAAGAAGCACCGGCUAACUACGUG
rnacentral:rRNA from 1 species